AGCUCUGCGGGGGCUGCAGCAUCUCCAGGAGAGCCGGGGAUACCCGAGCAGGGCAGAUCCAGCAGAAACCUGCCAGAAACCUCCACCCUCCCGAAGCAGCUGCUGGGAGCCGAGCCGGAUACCCCGGGGCAUUUCGAAUGGCACUGAUCACCGAUAUUUAAACACCGGAAUCCCACCGGGACGGUGGAAGUUGAGAAAGCCCUGAGGAAUGCUGGUGGCAUCUGGCUGUCCCUUAUCUCCGCUCCUGCCCGGACGGGGUUGUUGGGGUGCGCCCUUCCCGCUGGGAAUUGCACCCCAACAUCCCCGGGAGAGCUGCCUGGCAUCUCUGCCCGCUUCCCCCGCCUCUCCCCCCGCCUCCCCCGGCCAUGAGAGCCACCCACGAGCAAAAGAUCCCCUCCGAAAGGGGGGGAGCGCGCUCAGAUAGCGCAGAAAGUGGGGAAACGCAGCGGGAACCAAGAUAAAAUCGAAUUUUCUUUGCGCCAGUAGAUCCUCGGCUGUGCCAAGGCUGGGGCUCCCGGGCAGUCACACAGGGUUUGUUUGUGAGGGCACAAGGCAUUCACUCCUCCGCCGAAAAUACCCCCCUCACCUAAUUAAAGUUCUCAUUCUGAAAACAAAUAGGGGUUCUCGGAGGAGACAGCGCAGUCUCCCUGAGGGUGUUACUGUCGGGCAGAUCUUUGCAAGUCAUUAGCAACCUCGGGAAAAUGUUGAUCAAAUGGCUGGAAAUGCAGCUUUCCAGUUUUCCACUAAACCGAGCGUAGUAAGCCGCUGCGGCAUAAGCAUCUUCAUAAUGAUGUUUCUGAGCUAACAGGAGGGGCCUGGGGUGUUUUAAUUGCCUUAGUUUCUAAAUAAAUGUAAAGAGAUUUGUACACGUCCUGGAUGCAAAC